CUGGGGACCGGCCGCGCAGGUGACAAUGGAAUUUGUAGAUGGUUAAAGAAAAUGCUUUGUUUGCUGGAGUACUACAGUAAUCUUGAAAUGUCGUCACAGAACAUAAAUGUCUGGACACCUAAUCCGAACCUCUCCUAAUUGUUUGGAAGAUAUUUGGAAGAAGUUUAUAAAGCUGAGUUUUCUUACACAGGCAUUCACAAAUAAGAGGUCUGAACUGUGAUCACAGAAAGAAACUGGAAGCAUAUUUUAAGGGGUAAGAGACUAUUUCAUAUAGAUUAGUUAUUUUUCUUGUUACAAUAUGUGCACUAGUGUUACAAUUAAGAUGACAUAAUCUAAUUUACCAAGCAGUACAUUGAAGUACUUUGUUUACUGCUCUAUUCCCUCAUGGUACAGCUAUACCUCCAUUCCCCUGUAAAGUUUUGAACUGUUUCAUCUUUUGUACUGAAAAAUUU